AUCUUUGCGCUUGGGGCAAUGACGCAGCUAGUGAGGUACUAACCGAGGCGCGUCAAUUGCUGGUUGAAAACUAUUUCCAAAAGAAUAUCCAGGAUAUUAGUUGCUUUCUAAUUUCCAUGUUCUGUUGCUUCCAGUUACUGCAACGACUGCAGAGAC